AUACGUAGGUCCCGAACGUUGCGCGAAAUUACUGGGCGUAAAGGGUCCGUAGGCGGUCUGGUAAGUGGAAGGUGAAAGCCUGGGGCUCAACUCCAGAAUUGCCUUCCAAACUGCCGGACUUGAGGCAGGGAGAGGUCGGCGGAAUUCCCGGUGUAGCGGUGAAAUGCGUAGAUAUUGGGAGGAACACCAGUGGCGAAGGCGGCCGACUGGAACUGUCCUGACGCUGAGGGACGAAAGCCAGGGGAGCAAACCGGAUUAGAAACCCCAGUAGUCC
rnacentral:rRNA from 1 species